rnacentral:rRNA from 1 species
GAUGAACGCUGGCGGCGUGCCUAAUACAUGCAAGUCGAGCGAACAGACGCUGAUCUUGCUCCUCUGACGUUAGCGGCGGACGGGUGAGUAACACGUGGAUCACCUACCUAUCAGACUGGGAUCACUUCGGGAAACCGGAUCUAAUACCGUAUAAUAUAUUGCACCGCAUUGUUCAAUAGUGAAAUACGGUUUUGCUGUCUCUUAUAGAUGGAUCCGCGCCGCAUUAGCUAGUUGUUAAGGUAACGGCUUACCAAGGCAACGAGGCGUAGCCGAACUGAGAGGGGGAUCGGCCACACGGGAACUGAGACACGGUCAAGACUACUAAGAGAGGCAGCAGUAGGGAAUGUGAGGCAAUAGGCGAAAGUAUGACGGAGCAACGCCGCGUGAGUGAUGAAGGUCUUCGGAGCGUAAAAAUCGGUUAUGAGGGAAGAACAAAUGUGUAAGUAAAUAUGCACGGAGUGACGGUACUGAAUAAGAAAGCAACGGCUAACUACGUG